rnacentral:ncRNA from 1 species
GGGGAGUAUGGUCGUAAGGCUAAAACUUAAAGGAAUUGAUGGGAGGGUGCCACUAGAAUUGGAUCUCAUGGGUUAAUUGACUCAACACGAGAAAAUAUAUCAGGUCGAUACAUAAUAAGGAUUAACAUAUUUAGAGCUCUGUCUUGAUUAUAUGGGUGGUGGCACAUGGACAAAAUAGGAGGAUCUGUAUCAUAUGGAUAUGGGCCCCAACGAUUAAUGUUGACUUAUAAAUAAGUGGAAUAGAAUCCCAUCCUUUUUUUUCUUUCUCAGUCUUGGUUCA